rnacentral:misc_RNA from 1 species
UUUCUCUCUCUGUAUCCUCACUUUUUCUGCAAUCUUCUAGAUAUUUGUGUAUUAUUGGUCCCUUUUUCUUUUUCUUGAAUUUUUGCUUUCAGUUCUUGAAUAUGGUGUCCAUUAUAAAAGGGUGAUGGUUGCUUUUAUUGGACUUUGUGCUGCUUGAUUGGUUGCUUAGUGUAGAAUUUUACAUUUUUGGGGUUCUUGGGUUUGCUGUCUUUAGUCUUUCAUGUUGGGGGCUCUAGAGAGUUUUGAGACAGCCACCCAAAUAUUUAAUUCUUGAUUUGGUCUGCUAGUUGUGCUACAAUUGUUGUUAAAAAUUCAAUCUUUUUUGACUUAAGCAGUGAAUCUUGAUGUGUUGGAAGCUGUGACAAAGUUCAGCUAUGGCUCUCUAGUAGGUAAGUAUUUAUUUCCCCCCAAAAAAUUUAAUGGUUUGUGCUAUUGUUGUUUGGAUUUCUUGAACUACUCUUUUUUUUUUGUCAUUUGAGGGUUUUAGGGAAUAGUCAGUUUUUGUAACUUUUGAGUAGCCAACUUUGAUUUUGUGAGUUUAUUUAAUAAUGGACUGUCAUCAAGUAGUCAGUAUGGAAGAAUCAGAAUCUCUUGUUGUUGAUGACAAAACAAAAUCUGAUUGUCAAGGGAAGGGUGGUGUGGUUAGGAAUGUAGAGGGGUUUAUUGGGGUUCUUGAUGUUCAUGUGCAUCAAGCAAGGGAUAUACAUAACAUAUGUAUAUAUCAUAAACAAGAUGUGUAUGCUAAGGUUUCCUUAACUAGUAAUCCUGAAGAAGCUGUUUCGACUGAUACUAUUAAUGGUGGGGGGUGGAUAUGAUUGGGG